rnacentral:rRNA from 1 species
CUGCUAUCGGAUGAUACUAAGCCAUGCGAGUCUUUGUAGUAAUACAAGGCAGACGGCUCAGUAACACGUAGUCAACCUACCCUAUGGACAAGAAUAAUCUCGGGAAACUGGGCAUAAUUCUUGAUAGAUCAUAAUGCCUGGAAUGGUUUAUGGUUAAAAUGAUUCGUCGCCAUAGGAUGGGACUGCGGCCUAUCAGCUUGUUGGUGAGGUAAUGGCCCACCAAGGCGAUUACAGGUACGGGCUCUGAGAGGAGAAGCCCGGAGAUGGGUACUGAGACACGGACCCAGGCCCUAUGGGGCGCAGCAGGCGAGAAAACUUUGCAAUGUGCGAAAGCACGACAAGGUUAAUCCGAGUGAUUUCUGCUAAAGAAAUCUUUUGCCAGUCAUAAAACCACUGGUGAAUAAGGGGUGGGCAAGUUCUGGUGUCAGCCGCCGCGGUAAAACCAGCACCUCAAGUGGUCAGGAUGAUUAUUGGGCCUAAAGCAUCCGUAGCCGGCUUUGUAAGUUUUCGGUUAAAUCCAUGUGCUCAACGCAUGGGCUGCCGAAAAUACUGCAUGGCUAGGGAGUGGGAGAGGUAGACGGUACUCAGUAGGAAGGGGUAAAAUCCUUUGAUCUAUUGAUGACCACCUGUGGCGAAGGCGGUCUACCAGAACACGUUCGACGGUGAGGGAUGAAAGCUGGGGGAGCAAACCGGAUUAGAUACCCGGGUAGUCCCAGCUGUAAACGAUGCAGACUCGAUGAUGCAUUGGCAUAAUAGCUAGUGCAGUGUCGCAGGGAAGCCGUUAAGUCUGCCGCCUGGGAAGUACGUACGCAAGUAUGAAACUUAAAGGAAUUGGCGGGGGAGCACCACAAGGGUGAAGCCUGCGGUUCA